rnacentral:rRNA from 1 species
AGUGAACGCUGGCGGCAGGCCUAACACAUGCAAGUCGAGCGGCAGCGCGGGGGCAACCCUGGCGGCGAGCGGCGGACGGGUGAGGAAUGCAUUGGAAUUUACCUCGUUGUGGGGGAUAACGUAGGGAAACUUACGCUAAUUCCGCAUUCGACCUACGGGUGAAAGUGGGGGGCCGCAAGGCCUCCCGCGAUGAGAUGAGCCGAUGCCGGAUUAGCUAGUUGGCGGGGUAAAGGCCCCCCAAGGCGACGAUCCGUAGCUGGUUUGAGAGGAUGAUCAGCCCCACUGGAACUGAGACCCGGUCCCGACUCCUUCGGGAGGCAGCAGUGGGGAAUAUUGGACAAUGGGCGCAAGCCUGAUCCAGCCCUGCCGCGUGUGUGAAGAAGGCCUUCGGGUUGUAAAGCACUUUUGUUGGGGAAGAAACCGACCGGAUUAAUACUGCGGUUGAAUGACGGUACCCAAAGAAUAAGCACCGGCUAACUUCGUG